rfam:Stereum hirsutum FP-91666 SS1 unplaced genomic scaffold STEHIscaffold_11, whole genome shotgun sequence.
UCCCUGGUAGUAUAUCGGUUAGUACACGCGCUUGUCACGCGCGAAAGCGGGGUUCGACUCCCCGCCAAGGAG